rnacentral:lncRNA from 1 species
AUGGGAGGUUCUGGCCCAACUUGCCCAGAGGCCCUUCCAUCCCAGCCAGGUGACCAAUGCCAGAUAGAGGGACCCAGCAGGGAGGGGCUUUGCCGAGUACCUCCUCCACACAUGGCCACUCUUUGUUUCUGGGACCUAAUCAGGCCUGAGAUCUGGAGAGGAAAUUCAGGCAACCCUGCUGCUUCCAAAGUGGCUGGGCCGGCUCUCCUCUCCCAGUCCUGCAGGGAAGGUGGAGAAACAGAGGCCAGUGCCCCUCACUCUGUCUGGGGGAUGCUGCUUCUCUGUCCUCCACACCUUUUCUCCCCAGAACCACAGGCCCGUCAGCCCUGCGAGUAUCACAGAAACUUCACACUCCCCGUCCUGUCCUCACUUUCUCCACGGCUGCAGAGGGAGAGACUGGAGGAGUGCCCACUGCCGUCUAGGCUCUGUGGUCAGACUACAGCAAGAUUCGAAUGUGGCUGGGCGUUAUUAAGCAGAUCCUUUCCACACCUGCUGAUAAUCCGUAGAGGGAAUCAGGUAAAACAACGUGUUACUACUUUCAGAGUUCCCUGAACCAGCGAGUCAGGUCCCCAAAAGCUCAGACCCUUGACCCCACCCAGGCCCCGCCCCUUUCCCUACAGCCAAUCAGUGGCGGCCUCCCCAGAGCGUCAGAUACCCCGCCUCUGGCGGCUCCUGUCCCGCCACAGCCUCUUUCAGGGAGGCCGCCGGGUAUGGGAAGAUUCCCGGUAUUCUCGCCCGUCCCUUGGGGACCAGCUGAGGACCGGAAGGUGCAUCCGAGGGCCGAAAAGCGCUCUGAGAUUGAGCCGGAGUUCAAGGAGCAAGGCUCCCCUCAAACCAUUUUACAGAUAGGAAAACUCGAGACCCAGAGAAGGGAAGCGCUCGACCAAGUCACCCCAAGCCAAGAACCGAAGGCGGAAACCGAGUUUUCUCCGCGAGGAUGGGACUGCACACCCGCAUAGUGCAUGCGGGAGCUGUGGCCGAAGCCCAGCACUAACAGUGGCUGACCAGGGAUCGAGACUGCGUGGAGGGCUGGAUUCUUCCUUGCCUCGGUUUCCCCAGCACUACCUCUGGUGGGGGUCGGGAGACGAGGCAAGUGGCCAAAAGGACGCCUGCCAGGACUGUCCCCGCGCCUCCUCAAGUCUGAUCGUAAUUCCUUUAGCCGACUACCUCCCCGCCCCAUUAAAAUACGGUCCUCCCGUUCGAGCCUCUCGGUGUUCUAUUGGAAAGACUCUAGGGUCCUAGUCCAUUCUCUAGAAUGAACUGCUCAGACUACCGCGGGAGCUUCCCUGGAACUGCUAACUGCGCAGGCGCAAGGGCCGCCCACCCGGAAGGCGGAAGAACCGGGUCCCGACGCCGCUGGGAGGGUCGGGGGCGGAGUGUGUAUUAACCAAUGACCUGAAGCAGCAGGGAGGGCGGGAUCAGGCCCGCAGUUGCUAAGCGCUACCCUGGAGGGAGGUGAUUUAGGCAAUGGGGUGAAGGGUGGUUCAAUGGCCCUUCACGUCAUUAUCCUUCUGGCCCUCGGAAGUUAAGCAACGAAGAGGCGGGCCUAGGA